rnacentral:rRNA from 1 species
UAAGGAAUAUUGGUCAAUGGACGCAAGUCUGAACCAGCCAUGCCGCGUGGAGGAUGAAGGUCCUCUGGAUUGUAAACUUCUUUUAUCUGGGAAGAAAUCCAUUUUUUCUAAAAUGGUUGACGGUACCAGAUGAAUAAGCACCGGCUAACUCCGUGCCAGCAGCCGCGGUAAUACGGAGGGUGCAAGCGUUAUCCGGAUUCACUGGGUUUAAAGGUGCGUAGGUGGGCAAGUAAGUCAGUGGUGAAAUCUCCGGGGCUUAACCCGGAAACUGCCAUUGAUACUAUUUGUCUUGAAUACUGUGGAGGUCAGCGGAAUAUGUCAUGUAGCGGUGAAAUGCUUAGAUAUGACAUAGAACACCAAUUGCGAAGGCAGCUGGCUACACAAAUAUUGACACUGAGGCACGAAAGCGUGGGGGAUCAAACAGGAUUAGAUACCCUGGUAGUCCACGCCCUAAACUAUGGAUACUCGACAUUUGCGAU